AACUCUAAUGUGCAUGUGAAUCACCUUAAGUCUUGUUAAAGUGAAGAUUCUGAUUCACUUGCUCUAGGGUGGGGCCUGAGAUUCUGGAUAUCUGAUAGGUGGAUAUCUUCCCAGGAGAUGUAGAUCUUGCUUGCCAGUCCUUGGACCACACUUUAAAUAUGAGGAGUCUACAAGUCCUUUUGUGGUCUGUUUCUUCCCUAAUGCUCUAACUUUAUUGCUUCCUAGCUGUGCCUUAUAAUUUAUGACACUGUAUCAUGGACUUGCUUUUAGUAUCCCCCUGUAGCUGCACUUUGCAAAAUGUGGUGCAGGAAUCCAUGAGACUCUUGCAAGGGAUCUACAAGGCCAAAACUGUUUUAAUGAUAAUAGUAAGAUGUUA
rnacentral:lncRNA from 1 species